rnacentral:rRNA from 1 species
AUGGCGAGCAGAUAUCGCUUCCACCUUCUACUACUCCUGGGCGUCUUCCUGCUGGCCGAGGGCGGCAAAUCGAGCUCGCAGCUCACCUCCGGCGACCAAGCCACCCUCCUAGCUAUCAAGAAACAGUGGGGAAACCCUCGUCAGCUUGUGUCGUGGGACCCCGUCGCCAACGCCGACCAUUGCAACUGGACCGGCGUGAUCUGCGGCGGGGGACGCUCCGGGGGUGUGACGGGGAUAUUCUUGCCGAAGCUGAACAUCGCCGGCAAGGUACCGGAGUCUCUGUGCGACCUGCUGAGCCUCAGCCACCUAGACCUCUCGUACAACAACCUCAUCGGCGAGUUUCCCGGUGCCGCGCUCUACGAAUGCUCCCAGCUCCGCUUCCUCGACCUCUCCAACAACGCCUUCCACGGUGUCCUCCCGAAUGACAUCAGCCGCCUGUCACCGGCCAUGGAGCACCUCAACCUGUCGACAAAUUACUUCGGUGGCGCCGUGCCGGCCGCGGUGGCCGGGCUUCCGGCGCUGAGGUCGCUUCUUCUUGACACCAACCAGUUCACUGGAGCGUACCCAGCGGCCGAGAUAAGCAAGCUCACCCGGCUCGAGCAGCUCACGCUUGCCUCGAACCAGUUCGCGCCAGCGCCUGCACCGCCAGAGUUCGCCGAGCUGACCAACCUGAGCUACCUAUGGAUGUCCAACAUGAACAUGACCGGUGAGAUCCCGAAGGCGUACUCCAGCCUAGCGAAACUCACGCUGAUCGCCUUGAACAAUAAUAACCUCACCGGCCAGAUCCCAGAGUGGGUCUGGCAGCACCCAAUGCUCGAGUGCGUGUACUUGUUCACCAAUGGACUCGUGGGCAAACUACCGCGCAAAAUCAGGUCGGUGAAUUUGAUAGAGCUUGAUGUGUCGUCGAACCAUCUCACAGGAGAAAUACCGGAGGACUUCAGUAGCCUCAAGAACUUGAGCGUACUGUUCCUGUACACCAACCAGCUCACCGGCAUCAUUCCAGCAAGCAUAGCGAUGCUCCCAAAUCUCAGGGACCUCAGGCUAUUUGAAAACCGGCUCUCUGGUGAGCUCCCGCCAGAGCUCGGGAAGCACUCGCCACUUACAAACCUUGAGGUUUCAAGUAACAACCUGUCUGGCCCGCUCCCAGAAUCACUUUGCGCCAACGGGAUGCUCCAAGACAUCGUGGUCUCCAACAACAGCAUGUCUGGUGAGCUCCCGAAAAGCCUCGUGGACUGCGUCUUGCUGAACAACCUCAUGAUCUCCAGCAACAGCUUCCACGGCGAGUUCCCGGAGAAAAUAUGGUCAUUACCAAAGUUGACGACGUUGGUGAUAGAGAGCAAUGGUUUCACCGGGGCUUUACCAGCCGAGCUAUCUGAGAACAUCUCUCAGAUUGACAUAGGGAACAACAAGUUCUCUGGCUUCCUCCCAACUUCGGGAACCGGGCUGCUGGUGUUCAAGGCGGCAAACAACCUGCUCUUUGGCGAGCUACCGGCCGACAUGAGCAAGUUUGCCAACCUUACACGUUUGGUGUUGCGUGGCAACCAGCUAACUGGUUCCAUACCAUGA